rnacentral:rRNA from 1 species
CCUACGGGUGGCAGCAGUGGGGAAUAUUGGACAAUGGGGGGAACCCUGAUCCAGCCAUGCCGCGUGUGUGAAGAAGGCCCUCGGGUUGUAAAGCACUUUCAGUGAGGAAGAACGCCUGGUGGUUAAUACCCAUCAGGAAAGACAUCACUCACAGAAGAAGCACCGGCUAACUCCGUGCCAGCAGCCGCGGUAAUACGGAGGGUGCGAGCGUUAAUCGGAAUUACUGGGCGUAAAGCGCGCGUAGGUGGCUUGAUAAGCCGGUUGUGAAAGCCCCGGGCUCAACCUGGGAACGGCAUCCGGAACUGUCAAGCUAGAGUGCCGGAGAGGAAGGUAGAAUUCCCGGUGUAGCGGUGAAAUGCGUAGAGAUCGGGAGGAAUACCAGUGGCGAAGGCGGCCUUCUGGACUGACACUGACACUGAGGUGCGAAAGCGUGGGUAGCAAACAGGAUUAGAUACCCCUGUAGUC